rnacentral:rRNA from 2 species
CCAUCCUCCAAGGCUAAAUACUCCUGAAAGACCGAUAGUGAACAAGUACUGUGAAGGAAAGGUGAAAAGCACUUCGAAUAGAAGGGUGAAAUAGAACCUGAAACCGUACGCCUACAAGCGGUCGGAGCCCACAAGUUGGGUGACGGCGUGCCUUUUGCAUAAUGAGCCUACGAGUUAAUUUUACUAGCGAGGUUAAGGUAUUAAGUACCGGAGCCGGAGCGAAAGCGAGUCUGAAUAGGGCGUAUAGUUAGUAGGAUUAGACGCGAAACCUUGUGAUCUACCCAUGGGCAGGUUGAAGCUCUGGUAACACAGAGUGGAGGACCGAACCGGUUGACGUUGAAAAGUCUUCGGAUGACCUGUGGGUAGGGGUGAAAGGCCAAUCAAACUGGGAGAUAGCUCGUACUCCCCGAAAUGCAUUUAGGUGCAGCGUCGUGUAUAGUUUAUUAGAGGUAGAGCUACUGAUUGGAUGCGGGGGUUUCACCACCUACCAAUUCCUGACAAACUCCGAAUGCUAAUAAAUUUUUUGCGGCAGUGAGGGCAUGGGUGCUAAGGUCCAUGUCCGAGAGGGAAAGAACCCAGACCAACAGCUAAGGUCCCCAAAUAUAUGCUAAGUUGAAGCAACGCGGUUGAACUGCAUUGACAGCUAGGAUGUUGGCUUGGAAGCAGCCAUUCAUUUAAAGAGUGCGUAACAGCUCACUAGUCGAGCGGUUCGGCAUGGAUAAUAAUCGGGCAUAAGCAUAUUACCGAAGCUAUGGAUUUAUAAUUAAUUAUAUCUGGUAGGGGAGCAUUCUAUUUGCGCCGAAGCAGUAUCGCGAGGUAUUGUGGAGCGGAUAGAAAAGAAAAUGUAGGCAUAAGUAACGAUAAAGGGGGCGAGAAACCCCCUCACCGAAAGACUAAGGUUUCCUCAGCCAUGCUAAUCAGCUGAGGGUUAGUCGGGACCUAACGCGCACCCGAAAGGGGAAGUGGAUGGACAAUGGGUUAAUAUUCCCAUACUUGCUCACACUAAAAAGGGGACGGAGUGCCGUACUUACUGGAGACUGACGGAAUAGUCAAGACCUAGCCUUCGGGCGAAGUUGCUGUAAGGAAAGUGCUUCCAAGAAAAGCCGAAGUGAAGCAACCCGUACCAAAACCGACACAGGUAGUCGAGGAGAGAAUCCUAAGGUGCUCGAGUGAGUCGUGGCUAAGGAACUAGGCAAAAUAGUCUCGUAACUUCGGAAGAAGAGACGCCAGCAGCAAUGCUGGCCGCAGUGAAGAGGCCCAGGCGACUGUUUAUCAAAAACACAGGACUCUGCUAAAUCGAAAGAUGCUGUAUAGGGUCUGACACCUGCCCGGUGCUGGAAGGUUAAGGAAGGGCGUUAGGGUAACCGAAGCGUUUGACUGAAGCCCCAGUAAACGGCGGCCGUAACUAUAACGGUCCUAAGGUAGCGAAAUUCCUUGUCGGGUAAGUUCCGACCUGCACGAAUGGUGUAACGAUCUGGGCACUGUCUCAGCCACGAGCUCGGUGAAAUUGUAGUAUCGGUGAAGAUGCCGAUUACCCGCAAUGGGACGAAAAGACCCUGUGAACCUUUACUAUAACUUCGUAUUGACUUUGAGUAAGUAAUGUGUAGGAUAGGUGGGAGACUUUGAAGCAGGCACGCUAGUGUUUGUGGAGUCAACGUUGAAAUACCACCCUUUACUUACUUGGAGCCUAACUUCUUUAAGAAGGACAUUGCGUGGUGGGUAGUUUGACUGGGGUGGUCGCCUCCAAAAGAGUAACGGAGGCUUUCAAAGGUACCCUCAGCACGCUUGGUAACCGUGCGUAGAGUGUAAUGGCAUAAGGGUGCUUGACUGUGAGACCUACAAGUCGAUCAGGUGCGAAAGCAGGACAUAGUGAUCCGGUGGUUCCGUAUGGAAGGGCCAUCGCUCAUAGGAUAAAAGGUACUCCGGGGAUAACAGGCUAGUCUCCCCCAAGAGCUCACAUCGACGGGGAGGUUCGGCACCUCGAUGUCGGCUCGUCACAUCCUGGGGCUGGAGAAGGUCCCAAGGG